UACGUAGGGUGCGAGCGUUAAUCGGAAUUACUGGGCGUAAAGCGUGCGCAGGCGGUUUUGUAAGCCAGAUGUGAAGUCCCCGGGCUCAACCUGGGAAUGGCAUUUGGGACUGCAAGGCUGGAGUACGGCAGAGGAGACUGGAAUUCCUGGUGUAGCAGUGAAAUGCGUAGAUAUCAGGAGGAAUACCGAUGGCGAAGGCAGGUCUCUGGGCUGAUACUGACGCUCAUGCACGAAAGCGUGGGGAGCAAACAGG
rnacentral:rRNA from 1 species